rnacentral:misc_RNA from 1 species
GAAAUGCGAUAAGUAAUGUGAAUUGCAGAAUUCAGUGAAUCAUCGAAUCUUUGAACGCACCUUGCGCUCCUUGGUAUUCCUUGGAGCAUGCCUGUUUGAGUAUCAUGAAAUCUUCAAAGUAAAUCUUUUGUUAACUCAAUUGGUUUCUACUUCGGUAUUGGAGGUCUUUGCAGCUUCACACCUGCUCCUCUUUGUUCAUUAGCUGGAUCUCAGUGUUAUGCUUGGUUCCACUCGGCGUGAUAAGUUAUCUAUCGCUGAGGACACUGUAAAAGGUGGCCAAGGUAAAUGCAGAUGAACCGCUUCUAAUAGUCCAUUGACUUGGACAAUACUUUUAUGAUCUGAUCUCAAAUCAGGUAGGACUACCCGCUGAACUUAAGC